rnacentral:rRNA from 1 species
AUUGAACGCUGGCGGCAUGCUUUACACAUGCAAGUCGAACGGUAACAGGUUAAGCUGACGAGUGGCGAACGGGUGAGUAAUGCAUCGGAACGUGCCCGAUCGUGGGGGAUAACGCAGCGAAAGCUGCGCUAAUACCGCAUACGAUCUGAGGAUGAAAGCGGGGGACCGUAAGGCCUCGCGCGAUCGGAGCGGCCGAUGUCAGAUUAGGUAGUUGGUGGGGUAAAGGCCCACCAAGCCGACGAUCUGUAGCUGGUCUGGGAGGACGACCAGCCACACUGGGACGGAGACACGGCCCAGACUCCUACGGGAGGCAGCAGUGGGGAAGUUUGGACAAUGGGCGAAAGCCUGAUCCAGCAAUGCCGCGUGCAGGAAGAAGGCCUUCGGGUUGUAAACUGCUUUUGUACGGAGCGAAAAGGUCCUUUCUAAUACAAGGGGCUCAUGACGGUACCGUAAGAAUAAGCACCGGCUAACUACGUGCCAGCAGCCGCAGUAA